rnacentral:lncRNA from 1 species
CGACACCCGACUGUCAGGCGCUGCGGUUUCUCGACUAGUGGAUUGGCGCUCCUGACGCCUCUGCGCUGCGCAUCAUCAAGCCGCGCCGCUCCCGGAAGUGACGACACCUGGUGUGAGCUGCGAGUUGCGCCGAAUCCGAGACUGGAGAUCCCAAGCCAUGUUGCCUUCGGGCGUCAUCGGUCGGCGUCGCCGCAGGAAGUGACAGAAACUCCUGGCGCGCGCCGGGCGGUGUUUCUUCUGUUUCGGGGACCGGCGGCGGCGGCAGCGGCGCAGGGUGUUUUAACUCAAAUGGGUGAUGAAAAGGACUCUUGGAAAGUGAAAACUUUAGAUGAAAUUCUCCAGGAAAAGAAACGAAGGAAGGAACAAGAGGAGAAAGCAGAGAUAAAACGCUUAAAAAAUUCUGAUGACCGGGAUUCCAAACGGGAUUCCCUUGAGGAGGGGGAGCUGAGAGAUCACCGAAUGGAGAUCACAAUCAGGAAUUCACCGUACAGAAGAGAGGACUCUACGGAAGACAGGUGAGAAAAUUUUCAAGUUGGUGAAGACAAGGCUGUGAAGAGAGGCUGGGGAGCCCCUACACUACCCAGGGCCCGGGCACCCUUGCACAGUUGGUUGUCUCUGGGUUAUCAGCCACCACUUCAUCCCUCUUCUCAUGCAAAGACUGUACAAGGGCGUAUUCCUGUCUGUCUGAAGAUUCUCCAGGCAGGUUAGCAUCUUUAGAUAGUACAUUUAAAUGUCUGCCCUGUGUUGCAAGCCUAAGGUUUUACACAGUGCCGAAAAGAAUGCUGAGAGGGGCUGCUAUGAGUAACGUGCACACUGAGCCCCGUGUGUUCUGCUGUUUGAUCCUGUGCUGUAGUAUCUCAUCUUUGGUUUCCUUCUCAUAUCUUCUGAGAUAAUCAAAGGAAAUAUGACCACAAAUUAAGGUUGAAUACUUAUCCUGGGAAGCCAAGAGUGUGCAUUUUUCCAAGGUUUUGGUGGUAUAGAAUCAGUUGAAGAUACUGUUAAAUGAACUUUUUAGAUCAUUAAAUAGCUUGAUAAAAUUUUGGAAUCUUUUUAAACAUCUG